rnacentral:rRNA from 1 species
UACGUAGGGUCCGAGCGUUGUCCGGAAUUAUUGGGCGUAAAGAGCUCGUAGGCGGUCUGUUGCGUCGGUUGUGAAAACCUGGGGCUCAACUCCAGGCCUGCAAUCGAUACGGGCAGACUAGAGUUCGGUAGGGGAGACUGGAAUUCCUGGUGUAGCGGUGAAAUGCGCAGAUAUCAGGAGGAACACCGGUGGCGAAGGCGGGGCUCUGGGCCGAAACUGACGCUGAGGAGCGAAGGCGUGGGGAGCGAACGGG